rnacentral:ncRNA from 2 species
UAUCUCAAUCAGGCCUCAAGUUGGUGUCCGUCAUGGAUGAUGGUCAUCCGUGACGGGCUCCAACUUGAGGCCCGAUUGAGAUA